CGGCAGUGUCUGAGGCUCGCUGCAAUCGCGUGUCGCCCUUCAGAGUUUGAUCCUGGCUCAGAACGAACGCUGGCGGCAGGCCUAACACAUGCAAGUCGAACGCCCCGCAAGGGGAGUGGCAGACGGGUGAGUAACGCGUGGGAACCUUCCCAGUGGUACGGAAUAGCCCAGGGAAACUUGGAGUAAUACCGUAUAAUACCCGAAAGGGGAAAGAUUUAUCGCCAUUGGAUGGGCCCGCGUAGGAUUAGCUAGUUGGUGAGGUAAUGGCUCACCAAGGCGACGAUCCUUAGCUGGUCUGAGAGGAUGAUCAGCCACACUGGGACUGAGACACGGCCCAGACUCCUACGGGAGGCAGCAGUGGGGAAUAUUGGGCAAUGGGCGCAAGCCUGACCCAGCCAUGCCGCGUGAGUGACGAAGGCCUUAGGGUUGUAAAGCUCUUUUGGCGGGGACGAUAAUGACGGUACCCGCAGAAUAAGCCCCGGCUAACUUCGUGCCAGCAGCCGCGGUAAUACGAAGGGGGCUAGCGUUGUUCGGAAUCACUGGGCGUAAAGCGCACGUAGGCGGACUUUCAAGUCAGGGGUGAAAUCCCGGGGCUCAACCUCGGAACUGCCUUUGAUACUGUUGGUCUCGAGUCCGAUAGAGGUGGGUGGAAUUCCUAGUGGAGAGGUGAAAGUCGUAGAGAUUAGAGACGAACACCGGUGGAGGAAAGCGGCCCACUGGAAUGGU
rnacentral:rRNA from 1 species